AAACCCUGCUGGAUUAAAUAAAGCCCUCUUCACUCAGUUCUAAGCCCCAUAACAUACCAUACGUGAACAGACCAUCCAUUGCCCCGAACUGAAAGGUGACCCACAAAACUAGGACAUAUUCCAGUUGUGUUGCCAAUUCUGGAGGAUUUCUGAAUGCCAAUGGUCGUGGUCACAAUACAGACAGCCUCCAUUGUGGCCUUCUGUUGCUGCACCUCCUUCUCCAUCCACUUGUUGAGUUCAGAGAUCUGAGGUUACAUGGAUAACCAUUUACCAUGACACAAGCUUUUGGAUCCAUUCCAGACUCUCACCUCAUGCUGCUGUUUAUCCAACAGAUCAUCUACCUCCUGUUGAUGUGACUUGCUCAGCUCUGCUGUUGUCUCCUCGACAGCUAGGGCCUGUUUGUCCAACAAAAACUUGACCUCCUGCUCCAUCUCCCUCUUCUGCUGCUCAAGAAUUUGUCGCACAUCGAAAAGCUCUUGGUUCUUCUCCUGUUUCUCCACCUCCCAUUUCUCCCUUUCUUCUGCAAACUGACAGAGAAAAGCAUGGCAAGGUAACAAUGGUUUCAAGAGAAGCAAAAAAUAAUAUUUUUCACCUCAUCUUCCUUUGCUUUGAGCAAAUUCUCAAACUGUUCCAGUUCAUCCUCCAGCACUUGCUCCAUCUUUUUUAUCCGCUCAUCCAUUUGCUCUCCUUUCUUGAUGCUCUCCUCCCGCUCGAGAACGACUUGAGCUUGUUCCUCCUCCAGUGUGGUAAGGCUUUGUGACAGACAAACUACCUUAGACUCAAGUUCUUGCUUCAGCUCCUCAGCACUAUUCAGACUGGUCUGGCUCUCCUCCAGCUGUUCCUGAAGUCCCAACAUUUCUGUCUGGAUUUUGAGAAGCUGAUUUCGGGCAGUAUCCAGUUCUUUUGAUGCAGCCUCCAACUCCACGGUCCUUUGGUUGAGAAUGGCCAGUGUAGUUUCAUAGUUUGCUGUGGUCUCCUUCAGCUGUGACUCCAGGCCACCACAACAGUCCUGGGAUGAGAGUAAAUGACACAUUUUUCAGUUAGAACCUGAAGAUAGCUCUGGAUCCAGUCUUCCAUCCACCCAUCCCUUCAAACCACCUGAGCCUCCUCGCUUGUCUGUCAAUGAACCUAGGGCACAUUGGACCCCCCUUCUUUAAAAAAAAAAAGUAGCAAUCCUCUUAGUUGUUUAGCAGCUCACACAGACCUCGCCAUUCAAAUCUUUCUUCAUAUUUUCCAUGCAGUGAACUUGAGGAUGAUAAAAACUUGGUGUGAAUCCUGCUCAGGCCUGUGCAGAAGCUAAAUGUUGAGUUACCUUUAAUGGUUGGGCCUCUGCCAGGGCAUCGUUUUCUGGUGACAAGGAAUGGCCGUGGUUUUGGUUUUCUUUAAGGACGGCAACAUUGAUGUUGAGAUCUUCAUCACAAUCAUCGUCAGUCUUCAAAGGCUCUAGCUGUUUGGCACAAUUUCUCUUUGAUUUAUCCUCUUGUUGCAAGCCAACCUGCCUCAGCUCAUUAUCCACUUGCACACAUCUGAAAACAAAUGAUACAGGCAUCAAUAAAAAAAGUGUAUAUUGUCAGUUAAUUGAAUCGUAUUUAUUGGUAAAGAUAUUUACAAUUAAAAUAAAAAUACCUUGCAAGCAAUAUUAAUCACACCCAUGUUAUAUAUAAGAAUGAAUGAACAUUUUUCUCAUCGCCAGCUCCCCAGGUUCGACCGAGAGAGGUCACUAAUCUCACCUGCUCUGAGCUGCAUCCAACUCUUUAGUAAUCCUGCAGACUUCCUCUCUAAGCGCAGCCAGGUCCUUGUCUUUGACAGUAAUCUCCUGACGGAGCUCGGCACACUGUUGGUUCAGCAGCUCUUUCUCCAGGUCCAGCUCCUGAAGUGGCUGCUCCGAAAGCUGACUCAUCUCCAGCCUGUCACAGUCAGAAUCAAUGACCCACUGAGACAGACAGUUUGACGUAUCUUCCACCGGGAUGGAGGGGGAGCUGCAGAGGAAGUCGACAUCCUCCUUCUUGGAAGCUAAAAGAUGACGAUCCCCGAGCACCUCACUGUUCAACUCGAAACUAUAGGAGAAAAGUUUCAUCAGAACUGUGAUUAUUUGGCACUAAAAACAAGGCACUGUAGUCGGGUUUGGUCAAACCUGUAGUUAGAGACGUCUAGUUGACUGCAUUGUUCGGACCCCUCAUUGGCAAGGGAAGAGGGCGAGCGCACAAACGGAGCACGUGGCAAGUAUCUCUCCAUAAGAAGGUCCUCAGGUAUCAAAACAUUCAUGUUGUCCUCAUCUGGUCUGCUUUGAAAAUGGUGUUCCUCCUCAGCAGCUUCAGGUGCCAACCCUGCCUUCACCUGAUUGUGCUUGUUCUUGAAGUCUUUGAGUUCAAUGACCUCAUCUUCUCUAUGCUUGAGUUCCCUAUCUUUCUCCUCCAGCAGCUGCUUAACUUGCUCCAUUUCUGCUUGGUGGUUCUCAAUAGCAAUCUUCAUCUCUUCCUCAAGCCUUUGAAGACUAAUUAAAUAGGUGUUGCCCUCCUCCUUGCACCUCCUCUCAGCCUCCUCCUCCUCCUGAAGCCGUGUUCGUAACUCAAGGACUUCUUGGUUCAGCUUCUCUUUCUCCUUUUUAUACUGAUGCAUCUCAAGGCACUGAGUCUGGAGGUCUGCUAGCUGAAGCUCCCAUUCUUCUCCUUGCUCUUCCAAGCGUUUCUUUUCCUCCCGCAGCUGUGAGAGCACACGCUGAUGACUAGCUUUUUCAUGUUCAUAUUCGGCACGUAAUUGUUGGCUUUUUUGUUGCUCCAGCUCGAGUUUUGUCUCCAGUUCUUUCAGAAGAGAGUCAGGAUCUGCACAGUUGGAUCCCUCAGACAAGGUGUUCUUAUCGGCAGGAUCUCCAUUUGAGAGGCCAUGACUAAACUGCUGGUGGCCAACAUUUGAAACAUCAUUGGCAGCCUGACUUUUGAUGCGCAGAAACUCAGCACUCGUCUGUGUAAAAGACAGAAAUGCAGUUGAACCCUUUUUACACUCUUUGAAAGGUUAAACAACACACCUGCUGGAGUUGUCUCUGAAGUCCUUGAAUCUCACUGGCCAUCGAUUGAGCCUGCAGUUGAACCUGGUCUCGACUUGCCAGAGCCUCCUGCAAGUUAGUGGUGAGCUUGGAAAUAAUCUCAUUCCGCUUUUCCACAGCUUCCUGUAACUGCUGCAAGUGAUAAUGAACAAUAAGCAAGUCAUCUUCUCUUUGAACUUCUCACAGUUGGACACCUCAGAACAUCUAAAGGUGCCAUGAUGAUAUCCUUACAAGGCCUCUGGUUAAACAACAAAUGUCUCCAUACAUUACUAUAAUAAGAAGAACUGAUUCGGACAGAUGAAUGACUCUUGAGUUUGGCACCCACCUUCACCCUAUUAACUCAGUUAACUCAAUGUCUGCCAUUUGCAGUUUGGCUGCAGGAGAAAAUAACAGCCUGUUAUGUGGAGGAAUAAAUGUUAGCAAUCCUAGCCAUAAAUAGUGUAUUUAUUAUUUUAGACUAAAAGGUUAGUGUCAGACUGAAAGACCAGUGUAGGUGGUGUGCACUUGAAGUGCAUCAUAAUGGAUGCUCUUUAAUCCCACCACAGAACUGGAUCUGAGACCACAUUGUGACAAGAAGCCUAGCUCAAGCUGUGCGAU